GACUUUUAUUAUAAUUUAAGAUGCUCUCACAAAAAUGAUAACAACUUAAGGCAAAUUGAAUCAAUUGGCCUGCUGAUUUAUGCCCUGCAAAUAUUUUCUUUUGGUGGCUCUCCUCACCAAACCCAAAUCGUUCUGAGUAAUGGAGUUUUCACUGGUCAACAAUAAAAUGUUUUUACAAUAAUUUUAUCAUUUAAAUAUUAUCCACGCAAUUAUCAAGAGAUGAAAGUGAUAAGCAAUUUUUUUGUAGUUGGAAAUAAUUUUUAAUUUUAUUUUUUAAUUUUUUUUAAACAAUCAGAUUGCGUAUAAUCAGAAUCAAAACAAACAUAUUUAGAAAUUUGAAAAAAAUCCUCAAGCAAAUGAAAUUACAAUCAUAAUUUAUUUUAACUAAAAGUUUGAUCUUUCACUCAACAUUCAUGAUAUUCAUCCACUACAACAACAACAAUA
rnacentral:lncRNA from 1 species